rnacentral:rRNA from 1 species
UACGUAGGGUGCAAGCGUUGUCCGGAAUCAUUGGGCGUAAAGCGCGUGUAGGCGGCUAGGUAAGUCUGCUCUGAAAGCCCGGGGCUCAACCCCGGGAGGCGGGUGGAUACUGUCUAGCUCGAGUCCGGAAGAGGAGUGUGGAAUUCCUGGUGUAGCGGUGAAAUGCGCAGAUAUCAGGAGGAACACCAAUGGCGAAGGCAGCACUCUGGGACGUGACUGACGCUGAGACGCGAAAGCGUGGGGAGCAAACAGG